rnacentral:lncRNA from 1 species
GAAAACAAAUGUGUAACACAGCAACAAAUGACAAUUACUGAAUUAAAAGCUCCUAACUUGAGAUGGACACAUACAUAAUGUGGCAAAAACUAGUUUGUUGGCAACAAAUCCUUCGCACAACAUAAGAAUAAACUAUGCAAAACAAAAACAAAUUAUAUGAGAAACAGCAAAAAAAGGACACCCAAUCAAAUACAGCCUCCAUUUUAACCAUUGGGCAUCCAAUAGAUUUGAAAUAAAGCCAGUUGACAUGU